ACUUUGGAUCUGCAUAAAAUUGAUGAUACGAAACGACUAUUGCCUUAUCCCUAUCGUAAUUCACUUUCUCAAUUCGUCAUACCAAAAACUGUCUCAAGUGCUCAAUUUCUGAACAACUGGUCACAACCAUGACAAUUUCCCGGUUCGGUAUAAAUCGACUUAAUGAUCUGUCAAGUUAAUCUUUUAUGUUAUCUGAAUUUCGUAACUCAGCUGUUUCUUUUUGUAGGAGCUUUUCCUUUUGUCGUCACUGUGAUGGUGAGUUCCGAGAGCUUAAGUCGGUAUUUUACCAAUUCAAGGAUCUUUAAUAUUUUAUCUUUCAUGAAUUUGUAUUAACUAUUGAGUUUGCGGUGAUGAGAACCUUCAUAGGCAAUCGUGAGGGAAUCGGAAAUGAGGAAGAUACUGCAAAGAUAGAUUAACUUUUGCCGCUACUUGAUCAGGAAGAGACAUGAGAGUAAUUGGUAUCAGGAUCAUCCAUUCAGUAACAAAUUUGGUUUCAAAUUUACAGUUCGGCCAGUAACUAUGCAGACUUUGUGGAUAGUUGACAUAGAUUAAUACCUGCCUUGGUUCCUAUCAACAUGCAAAGGUGCGACGUAAAAUUUCUUCCUUCUUUGUGCUGGUUCCUUUGUUUUUAAUAUUUGAAGACUAACUUAGAAGUGUACGCUGCUUAUCCUGGUGGGAAAUAACCAUAUUUGUGACAUUUAGAAGCUAUAUGCUCAAGGUAGUGUCUCUUCAAAAGUUU